CGGGAUAUGGCGCAGCUUGGUAGCGCGCGUCGUUCGGGACGACGAGGUCGCAGGUUCAAAUCCUGUUAUCCCGACCA
rnacentral:tRNA from 12 species